GAUGAAGAACGUAGCGAAAUGCGAUAAGUAAUGUGAAUUGCAGAAUUCAGUGAAUCAUCGAAUCUUUGAACGCACCUUGCACCCUUUGGCUAUUCCGAAGGGUAUGUCUGUUUGAGUAUCAUGAACACCUCAACUCUCAUGGUUUGCCAUGAUGAGCUUGGACUUUGGGGGUCUUGCUGGCCUGUGGUCAGCUCCUCUCAAAUGGAUUAGCUUGCCAGUGUUUGGUGGCAUCACAGGUGUGAUAACUAUCUACGCUUGUGGUUUUCCACCAGGUAACCUUCAGCAAUGGGGGUUCGCUGGGGCUCAUAAAUGUCUCUCCUCAGCGAGGACAGCUCUUUGAACGUUUGAUCUCAAAUCAGGUAGGACUACCCGCUGAACUUAAGCAUAUCAAUAAGCGGAGGA
rnacentral:misc_RNA from 1 species